rnacentral:rRNA from 1 species
GAGUUUGAUCCUGGCUCAGGAUGAACGCUGGCGGCGUGCUUAACACAUGCAAGUCGAACGAACCUUCGGGUUAGUGGCGGACGGGUGAGUAACGCGUGAGAAUCUGCCCUCAGGAGGGGGAUAACGGUUGGAAACGACCGCUAAUACCCCAUAUGCCUACUGGUGAAAUGAAUUUCGCCUGAGGAUGAGCUCGCGUCUGAUUAGCUAGUUGGUGAGGUAAUGGCUCACCAAGGCUUCGAUCAGUAGCUGGUCUGAGAGGAUGAUCAGCCACACUGGGACUGAGACACGGCCCAGACUCCUACGGGAGGCAGCAGUGGGGAAUUUUCCGCAAUGGGCGAAAGCCUGACGGAGCAACGCCGCGUGAGGGACGAAGGCCUCUGGGCUGUAAACCUCUUUUCUCAAGGAAGAAGAUAUGACGGUACUUGAGGAAUAAGCCACGGCUAAUUCCGUGCCAGCAGCCGCGGUAAUACGGGAGUGGCAAGCGUUAUCCGGAAUUAUUGGGCGUAAAGCGUCCGCAGGCGGCUUUUCAAGUCUGCUGUUAAAGCGUGGAGCUUAACUCCAUCAUGGCAGUGGAAACUGAAAGGCUUGAGUAUGGUAGGGGCAGAGGGAAUUCCCGGUGUAGCGGUGAAAUGCGUAGAUAUCGGGAAGAACACCAGUGGCGAAGGCGCUCUGCUGGGCCAUUACUGACGCUCAUGGACGAAAGCCAGGGGAGCGAAAGGGAUUAGAUACCCCUGUAGUCCUGGCCGUAAACGAUGAACACUAGGUGUCGGGGGAAUCGACCCCUUCGGUGUCGUAGCUAACGCGUUAAGUGUUCCGCCUGGGGAGUACGCACGCAAGUGUGAAACUCAAAGGAAUUGACGGGGGCCCGCACAAGCGGUGGAGUAUGUGGUUUAAUUCGAUGCAACGCGAAGAACCUUACCAGGGUUUGACAUCCUGCGAACCUCUUAGAAAUUUGAGGGUGCCUUCGGGAAUGCAGUGACAGGUGGUGCAUGGCUGUCGUCAGCUCCUGUCGUGAGAUGUUGGGUUAAGUCCCGCAACGGGCGCAACCCACGUAAAUAGUUGCCAGCAUUUAGUUGGGCACUCUAGAAAGACCGCCGGUGAUAAACCGGAGGAAGGUGUGGAUGACGUCAAGUCAUCAUGCCCCUUACACCCUGGGCUACACACGUACUACAAUGCUACGGACAAAGGGCAGCAAACUCGCGAGAGCUAGCAAAUCCCAUAAACCGUGGCUCAGUUCAGAUCGUAGGCUGCAACUCGCCUACGUGAAGUAGGAAUCGCUAGUAAUCGCAGGUCAGCAUACUGCGGUGAAUACGUUCCCGGGCCUUGUACACACCGCCCGUCACACCAUGGAAGUUGGCCAUGCCCGAAGUCGUUACUCCAACCCUUGUGGAGGAGGACGCCGAAGGUGGGGCUAAUGACUGGGGUGAAGUCGUAACAAGGUA